GGGACCCCUCACCCGGACCAUAAAAUUAUUUUCAUCGCUACUGUUGUGAAUUGUAACGUUAAUAGCUGAUAUGCAACCCCUCUGGAAGGGUCAUGACCCACAGGUUGAGAACUUUAGUGCCAUGUUCCCUGGUCUUCACUAGGAUUCAUGCAUGCUGUCUGAUUGUAUGCCACAGUCUCUAUGUGCUUCGGAGGCAUAAGAGGCAGAGGCAUGAGGAUCUUAGUAUGGAGCUUUAGGCAGCAAAUCUCAUUUCUAUCCGCCAUUUAACGAACAGAGCCCUGGCCAAGGCUUUGUCUAAGGAGUUUCUGUUUGUCUGCACUCCCAAAGCAGAGAUAUCCUGUGGCAUAUAUACUAGUCACAGCCAGUCCUUCCUCCAGGGAGUGCAUCCUUUAUUUUCUCCACAAACGGAAAGCCUGAGAAUGAGAUGCCUAGCAGUCAACGGAGUUUUGAGAUACAUCUGAGUUUGCAGUAUCAAACAUCUAACGGUUCCAGCUGCUUGGGGGAGCCUUUGGAAUACGUAAAUUUUCACUUCCUCUUGUUCUCUAUUUCUGAAGCUGCGCCAUGCACUUCCGGUACACAGGAACCCGGGAGGAGGAACUCCUGAGCCCACGGCCCGUGGAAAGGUGAAUGUCAAUAACGUUGUGCAGAGGCCCCGCUCUUGAAUCGAGGGUGACAGAGACAAACACAGGUACCUUGGAAGUUCAGUGUUGAAGACUGACAGAUCAUCAAACUUGAAGAAACCCUUGGAGAUGGCUGCCCACUGAUCUAGGACAUUCAUUUGGGUACUUGAUGAGAAUGAAAAAUAAAUUCUGUUCCUGAGCUACCACCAUGCACAUCGGGAUGAGUUUUAACACCUGUUCUUCCCUGAGCACAGCAAUUGACUCGGCCUCUGGGAAGAGAGUUGGAGAAUUUUAUAUAUAUACAUAUGUAUAUAUAUGUGUGUGUAUAUAUACAUAUAUAUAUGUAUAUAUAUGAGGAACAUAUAUAUAUUGGCAAGUUCCUCAGUUGAGUUCGAGAAUCAGUGCUGGAGGGCAAAGGAGACCCACGCCCUUGCAGACUUACAGAAGACCCAUGAACACAAUGCUGUUGGCCUUGUAGGAUGGGGAGGAGAGAGAAGAACUUUGCCUCCUUAUCUCUGCCAAAGAGAACAAUCUGACUGAAAAGGAAGAGAGAACUUUGGUAAGGGAAAAUUGAAGUUUGAGAUGAGUAAAGAUAUUCUAACGGCACCAAGCUGCUGUAAUUGAGCUCAAGCCUCUUGGGCAGGACAAUGGUACUCCAGGGAGUAGAGAGAGCUCACUACUGAAGAUGUAGUGUAGAUCUUCCUUCCACCGGCGAGGUUUCAGGAAUGUAGAGACUGAAAGAAACUGGAAUUCUAGCAAUAGCAAAACAGCUCUGCUUUUCAAAGAUGGGGAAAGAGCUGGCAGCUCCAGAAGCAAGUUUCUCCUAUCCGUCCUCAUUAAAUUCCCUGAUCAGAGUAUUGAGGACGAUUCAUGAGCAUAUGAACACAACAAAAACAACAACCAACAACCAACCAACCAACCAACCAACCAACAAACCAGAGCAGAACUCUCUAGAAGCCAAAAGCAAAACUCCAAAAAAGUAGCUGUGUUUCCAGUUUUGUGGUAGGCUCAUGGACUGGUUAGUCUUUUUGUUACAUGAUACAAGCUAGCGUCAUCUGGGAAGAGGGGACGUCAACUGAGAAAAUGCCUCACCGUGGGCAAGUCUUGAUUAAUGGUUGAUGUGGGAGGUUCCAGAACACUGUAGGCAGUGACACCCCUGGGCAAGUAGUCCUAGGUUGUAUAAAGAGAAUCAGGCUGAGCAAGCCAUGGGGAGCAAACCAGAAAGCACUUCUCCUCCUUUCGCUUCUUGUUUCCCCGGUUCCUGUCCUGCUUGAGUUCUUGCCUUGGCUUCCCUCCGCGAUGGACUAUGAUUGGGAACCCUUUCCUCCCCAGGUUGCUUUUGGUCAUGGUGUUCUAUCACAUCAUUAGAAAGCAAGCAAAGGUAGCUUGUUAGAGUAUUAUGUCAGGGAGCUGUUUAGGCUAGGCAGACACAAAGCAUACCAAGGCUGGAUACUUAUUUGGGUAUCUCAUGAUGAAUUUGUGCACAAGAUGAGGUACAGUGGGCCUUCCACACUUGUGAGUAGGACAAACCAAGGAUCAUAGCUAUUGGGGGAAACCGUGUCUAUGUUGGCCAUGAAAGGAUUAAUAUUUUUGAUCAUUAUUCCCUAAGCACUACCACACAUUUACAUUGCAUUAGGUAUUAUAAGUGAUCUAGAGAUGAUACACCACGCAUAGGGGCACAUUCAUAGGUGGUAUGCAGUGAUGCCACUUUACAUAAGGGAUUUGAGCAUCUUUGGGUUUUGACUUUGCAAAGGUCCUAGAAUAUGUCCCAGGACAGCAGCAAACAACAGCUGUAGUUUUAACUGCAUACCGGAAUACCCAGUAGGAAGAUUUAGAGUUGCUUUACGGCCAUACUCAAAUAUGCUGACUAAUGCCACUGUAAAAAAAAAAAAAC